GAUGAACGCUGGCGGCGUGCUUAACACAUGCAAGUCGAACGGAAAGGCCGCAGUGGGGUUACGCGAGUGGCGAACGGGUGAGUAAGACGUGAGUAACCGGCCCUUGAUGUCGUGAGGACUUCGGGAAAGUGGGGGUAAUUACGGAUAGAAAUCCUUGCUGCAUGGUGGGGGUUGGGGAGCUCUUGGGCGGUUGGAUGGACUCGCGGCUUAUAAGCGUGUUGGGGGGGUAGUGGCUUACCAAGCUUUUGAGGGGUAGCCGGCCUGAGAGGGUGACCGGCCACAUUGGGACUGAGAUCAGGCCCAGCUUCGUACGGGAGGAAGAAGGGGGGAAUAUUGCACAAUGGGCGGAGGCCUGAUGAAGAACGGCCGCGGGCGGGAUAACGCCUUUGGGGUUGAAAACCGCUUUCAGCAGGAGCGAAGCUUGUGGUGACGUUACCUUCAGAAGAAGCACCGGCUAACUACGUG
rnacentral:rRNA from 1 species